rnacentral:rRNA from 1 species
UACAGAGGUCUCAAGCGUUGUUCGGAUUCAUUGGGCGUAAAGGGGUGCGUAGGCGGCGCUGUAAGUCGGGUGUGAAAUUUCGGAGCUUAACUCCGAAACUGCAUUCGAUACUGCGGUGCUUGAGGACUGGAGAGGAGACUGGAAAUUCAUGGUGUAGCAGUGAAAUGCGUAGAGAUCAUGAGGAAGACCAGUGGCGAAGGCGGGUCUCUGGACAGUUCCUGACACUGAGGCACGAAGGCCAGGGGAGCAAACGGG